rnacentral:rRNA from 1 species
CGGUUAAGUUAGAAAGGGCGCACGGUGGAUGCCUUGGCACUAGGAGCCGAUGAAGGACGGGACGAACACCGAUAUGCUUCGGGGAGCUGUAAGCAAGCUUUGAUCCGGAGAUUUCCGAAUGGGGAAACCCACCACUCGUAAUGGAGUGGUAUCCAUAUCUGAAUACAUAGGAUAUGAGAAGGCAGACCCGGGGAACUGAAACAUCUAAGUACCCGGAGGAAGAGAAAGCAAAUGCGAUUCCCUGAGUAGCGGCGAGCGAAACGGGACCAGCCCAAACCAAGAGGCUUGCCUCUUGGGGUUGUAGGACACUCUGUACGGAGUUACAAAGGAACGAGGUAGAUGAAGAGGUCUGGAAAGGCCCGCCAUAGGAGGUAACAGCCCUGUAGUCAAAACUUCGUUCUCUCCUGAGUGGAUCCUGAGUACGGCGGAACACGUGAAAUUCCGUCGGAAUCCGGGAGGACCAUCUCCCAAGGCUAAAUACUCCCUAGUGACCGAUAGUGAACCAGUACCGUGAGGGAAAGGUGAAAAGCACCCCGGAAGGGGAGUGAAAGAGAUCCUGAAACCGUGUGCCUACAAGUAGUCAGAGCCCGUUAACGGGUGAUGGCGUGCCUUUUGUAGAAUGAACCGGCGAGUUACGAUCCCGUGCAAGGUUAAGCAGAAGAUGCGGAGCCGCAGCGAAAGCGAGUCUGAAUAGGGCGAAUUGAGUACGUGGUCGUAGACCCGAAACCAGGUGAUCUACCCAUGUCCAGGGUGAAGUUCAGGUAACACUGAAUGGAGGCCCGAACCCACGCACGUUGAAAAGUGCGGGGAUGAGGUGUGGGUAGGGGUGAAAUGCCAAUCGAACCUGGAGAUAGCUGGUUCUCUCCGAAAUAGCUUUAGGGCUAGCCUCAAGGUAAGAGUCUCGGAGGUAGAGCACUGAUUGGACUAGGGGCCCCUACCGGGUUACCGAAUUCAGUCAAACUCCGAAUGCCGAUGACUUAUCCUUGGGAGUCAGACUGCGAGUGAUAAGAUCCGUAGUCAAAAGGGAAACAGCCCAGACCGCCAGCUAAGGUCCCAAAGUAUACGUUAAGUGGAAAAGGAUGUGGAGUUGCUUAGACAACCAGGAUGUUGGCUUAGAAGCAGCCACCAUUUAAAGAGUGCGUAAUAGCUCACUGGUCGAGUGACUCUGCGCCGAAAAUGUACCGGGGCUAAACGUAUCACCGAAGCUGCGGACUGUUCUUCGAACAGUGGUAGGAGAGCGUUCUAAGGGCUGUGAAGCAAGACCGGAAGGACUUGUGGAGCGCUUAGAAGUGAGAAUGCCGGUAUGAGUAGCGAAAGAGGGGUGAGAAUCCCCUCCACCGAAUGCCUAAGGUUUCCUGAGGAAGGCUCGUCCGCUCAGGGUUAGUCGGGACCUAAGCCGAGGCCGAAAGGCGUAGGCGAUGGAUAACAGGUUGAUAUUCCUGUACCACCUCCUCACCAUUUGAGCAAUGGGGGGACGCAGGAGGAUAGGGUAAGCGCGGUAUUGGAUAUCCGCGUCCAAGCAGUUAGGCUGGGAAAUAGGCAAAUCCGUUUCCCGUGAAGGCUGAGCUGUGAUGGCGAGCGAAUUAUAGUAGCGAAGUUCCUGAUUCCACACUGCCAAGAAAAGCCUCUAGCGAGGUGAGAGGUGCCCGUACCGCAAACCGACACAGGUAGGCGAGGAGAGAAUCCUAAGGUGAUCGAGAGAACUCUCGUUAAGGAACUCGGCAAAAUGACCCCGUAACUUCGGGAGAAGGGGUGCUCUGUUAGGGUGCAAGCCCGAGAGAGCCGCAGUGAAUAGGCCCAGGCGACUGUUUAGCAAAAACACAGGUCUCUGCGAAGCCGUAAGGCGAAGUAUAGGGGCUGACGCCUGCCCGGUGCUGGAAGGUUAAGAGGAGCGCUUAGCGUAAGCGAAGGUGCGAAUUGAAGCCCCAGUAAACGGCGGCCGUAACUAUAACGGUCCUAAGGUAGCGAAAUUCCUUGUCGGGUAAGUUCCGACCCGCACGAAAGGCGCAACGAUCUGGGCACUGUCUCAACGAGAGACUCGGUGAAAUUAUAGUACCUGUGAAGAUGCAGGUUACCCGCGACAGGACGGAAAGACCCCGUGGAGCUUUACUGCAGCCUGAUAUUGAAUGUUGGUACAGCUUGUACAGGAUAGGUAGGAGCCUUGGAAACCGGAGCGCCAGCUUCGGUGGAGGCAUCGGUGGGAUACUACCCUGGCUGUAUUGACCUUCUAACCCGCCGCCCUUAUCGGGCGGGGAGACAGUGUCAGGUGGGCAGUUUGACUGGGGCGGUCGCCUCCUAAAAGGUAACGGAGGCGCCCAAAGGUUCCCUCAGAAUGGUUGGAAAUCAUUCGCAGAGUGUAAAGGCACAAGGGAGCUUGACUGCGAGACCUACAAGUCGAGCAGGGACGAAAGUCGGGCUUAGUGAUCCGGUGGUUCCGCAUGGAAGGGCCAUCGCUCAACGGAUAAAAGCUACCCCGGGGAUAACAGGCUUAUCUCCCCCAAGAGUCCACAUCGACGGGGAGGUUUGGCACCUCGAUGUCGGCUCAUCGCAUCCUGGGGCUGUAGUCGGUCCCAAGGGUUGGGCUGUUCGCCCAUUAAAGCGGUACGCGAGCUGGGUUCAGAACGUCGUGAGACAGUUCGGUCCCUAUCCGUCGCGGGCGCAGGAAAUUUGAGAGGAGCUGUCCUUAGUACGAGAGGACCGGGAUGGACGCACCGCUGGUGUACCAGUUGUUCUGCCAAGGGCAUCGCUGGGUAGCUAUGUGCGGACGGGAUAAGUGCUGAAAGCAUCUAAGCAUGAAGCCCCCCUCAAGAUGAGAUUUCCCAUUCCGCAAGGAAGUAAGAUCCCUGAAAGAUGAUCAGGUUGAUAGGUCUGAGGUGGAAGUGUGGCGACACAUGGAGCUGACAGAUACUAAUCGAUCGAGGACUUAACCAA